rnacentral:lncRNA from 1 species
UUUUCUGCCUUUUUCUUCUUCCUUUUCUCAGAACCAGACAAAUGCUUUUUAGGCAACAUUUUUACAGGAAAGGAUAGGGAACACCAGAAUUUUUCAGAGAAUUGAAGAAAUCCAGCUAUCCAGUCCCAAGCAUAUCGGAUCUUGCAAUGGUCCUUGGAUGAUUGGAUCCUCAAAUGAACAGCCUAAAUAAGCAGCAGAGAAGAUCAGUCAGGGAAUAGCUAAAACACCAAAAAAACUGUACAAAGAUGGAGCGGAAAACUACUCAGAAAUAACAAGAACCUUGUGAAUGGAGUUGUCAGGUUAGUGCAGGCAACAGGUGUUCAGGCCCUGUAGGUGUUGCAUCAGCCAUCAGGCUCUCCCGAGCGGCCUCGCGUCUCCUACUCUCCUUGAGCC